GUGGCGAACGGGUGAGUAACGCGUAAUCAACCUGCCCUUCAGAGGGGGAUAACAUUCGGAAACGGAUGCUAAAACCGCAUAGGUUCUACAGUCGCAUGACUGGAGAAGGAAAAGAGGCUUCGGCUUCUGCUGAUGGAUGGACCCGCGGUGCAUUAGCUAGUUGGUGAGGUAACGGCUCACCAAGGCCGUGAUGCAUAGCCGACCUGAGAGGGUGAUCGGCCACAUUGGGACUGAGACACGGCCCAAACUCC
rnacentral:rRNA from 1 species